UCGAGAAUAGUCUACAAUGGUCGAAAGACUGAUAGUGCGACGCCGCGUGAACGAAGAAUCCCUUCGGGGUGUAAAGUUCUUUUUUAAUCGAGCAAUGCCUUUUAUGUGAUAAGCAUGAGAGGAGAGAUAUUAGGUUAAGAAUAAGCAACGGCUAACUCCGUGCCAGCAGCCGCGGUAACACGGGGGUUGCAAGCGUUGUCCGGAAUUACUAGGCGUAAAGGGCAGGUAGGCGGAUAUAUAAGUUUUGUGUUAAAGGCAUCGGCUUAACCGGUGUAAGGCAUAGGAUACUGUAUAUCUGGAAUGCGGUUGAGGAAGACAGAAUUCCUGGUGUAGCGGUGGAAUGCGCAGAGAUCAGGAGGAAUACCAAAGGCGAAGGCAGUCUUCUAAGCCGAUAUUGACG
rnacentral:rRNA from 1 species